rnacentral:rRNA from 1 species
CCUACGUGUGGCAGCAGUGAGGAAUAUUGGUCAAUGGGCGCGAGCCUGAACCAGCCAAGUAGCGUGAAGGAUGACUGCCCUACGGGUUGUACACUUCUUUUAUAAAGGAAUAAAGUGAGGCACGUGUGCCUUUUUGUAUGUACUUUAUGAAUAAGGAUCGGCUAACUCCGUGCCAGCAGCCGCGGUAAUACGGAGGAUCCGAGCGUUAUCCGGAUUUAUUGGGUUUAAAGGGUGCGUAGGCGGAUUUUUAAGUCAGCGGUAAAAUGUCCGGGCUCAACCCGGGCCGGCCGUUGAAACUGGGGAUCUUGAGUGGGCGAGAAGUAUGCGGAAUGCGUGGUGUAGCGGUGAAAUGCAUAGAUAUCACGCAGAACUCCGAUUGCGAAGGCGGCUUACUGGACUGUAACUGACGUUGAGGCUCGAAAGCGUGGGGAGCAAACAGGAUUAGAUACCCUAGUAGUC